rnacentral:rRNA from 1 species
UACGUAGGGUGCAAGCGUUAAUCGGAAUUACUGGGCGUAAAGCGUGCGCAGGCGGUUUUGUAAGACAGAGGUGAAAUCCCCGGGCUCAACCUGGGAACUGCCUUUGUGACUGCAAGGCUCGAGUGCGGCAGAGGGAGGUAGAAUUCCACGUGUAGCAGUGAAAUGCGUAGAGAUGAGGAGGAAUACCGAUGGCGAAGGCAGCCUCCUGGGCCAACACUGACGCUGAUGCGCGAAAGCGUGGGGAGCAAACAGG